GCGAUGACGUCACAGAGCGCGGGGCUGACGUCCUCCGUUAAGGGCGGAGUAAGCCCAGGUGGGCGUGGUUGAGACUGACGGAAGCCUGUUUAGUUGUCCAGGUUUGCUCCGGAUCCGAUGGUCGCCCACAGACCCCUUUCUCUCGGCCCAUGUCUGGAAGACGGACUUUCAAGCGCCAGGUCGGAAUUCAAGAUCAGCUUGGUCUACAUAGUGAACUCAAGGCCAACCGAGGGGCUAAAUAACCCUGACUCAAAAACAAACAAACAAACAAACAAACUUAAAGAAUUGUUAUAAAGUGGGCAGCACAUCUGAAUUGAGCAUCAGUUCCCUCACAAAGAGCUGUUUUGGAGAGCUUUGAGUAAGAAGGUGAUCUAAAUCGGGCGGUGGUGGCCCAUGCCUUUAACCCAGCACUCGGGAGGCAGAAGCAGGUGGAUCUUUGUGAAUUAAAGGCCACCCUGGUAUACCAAGUGAGUUCCAGGACCAGUUUCAAAGCUUCCCCCACCUCAACCUUGAACAGACAACAACAACAACAACAACAACAACAACAAAAAAGUGAUCUAGAGGGACAAUUGUUACACUGUGUCUGUUGUGCCAAAAAGGAGAGAGAAAUCAACUAUGGGCUCCUGAAACAGUAAAGUCUUUAAUAAAGUGCCACACAAGCAAGGUCUCUAAUCAAUCAUGGCUGGGAGACAAGAACUCCAGAGCUUUGUUUGUCCUGACAGCCCCAAGCGGGGAUGAAGCAGGAUUGAUAGGCACAAAAAUCACACCUGUGCCAAGUUAAAAUUUUCACCAAUCAGGAAUUAAAGAUUAGAGGCUUUCCCUGUGUGUUCCAUCAUUGUCAAGGGACAUGGAAUGUAAGCUUUCCAGUCCAACCAAUCUGAUUCAUUUGUUCCUUUUGUUGUUAGGAAUAGUCAUAAUGUUUUUAGAGAACUAAAGAUGUAUAACAGACUAUUUCUAUUGUUUAAGGAGGAGUUGGUCUUGGGAACUUGGACUUUGUUUCAACCUGCAGGUAAAAUGGAAGCUGAAGUCAAAAUGACUGUAUUUAGGACAAGGUGUUUUUGCCUGUUCCCUGCACAGUAAAGGAACUGCAAGUAAAAUCCUUAAAUAAAAAUGAACUGAUUUUACAAUCA